AAAUGUAGAUGCAACAAUAAUCCUUAUUUUCUACCUUUUUGUGCCAAUUUCGAUUUAAAUUGAGGGAACAUAGGGCUCAUGGAGCAUAGGGUUGAUAGAACAUAGAGAUGUGGGACCAUAGGGCUGAAGGAAGAUAGGUUGAGGGAACAUAGGGUUGAGGGAACAUAGGGCUGAGGGAACAUAGGGCUGAAGGAAGAUAGGUUGAGGGAACAUAGGGUUAAGGGAACAUAGGGCUGUGGGAACAUAGGGCAGAAAUAAGAUAGGUUGAGGGAACAUAGGGCUGAGGGAACAUAGGGUUGAGGGAACAUAGGGCUAAAGGACGAUAGGUUGAGGGAAAAUAGGGUUGAGGGAUCAUAGGGCAGAAGGAAUAUAGGCUGAGGGAACAUAGGGUUGAGGGAACAUAGGGUUGAGGGAAGUAAGGUUGAGGAAAAAGUGCUGAGGUAACAUAGGGCUGAAGGAAGAUAGGUUGAGUGAACAUAGGGCUGAGAGAACAUAGGACUGAGAGAACAUAGGGCUGAGGCAACAUAGCACUGAAGGAUUGAGGGAACAUAGGGUUGAGGGAAGUAAGGUUGAGGAAAAAGUGCUGAGGUAACAUAGGGCUGAAGGAAGAUAGGUUGAGUGAACAUAGGGCUGAAGGAAGAUUGGUAGAGGGAGCAUAGGCUGAGGGAACAUAGGUCUGAAGGAAGAUAGGUUUAGGGAACAUAGGGCUGCGGGAACAUAGGGUUGAGGGAACAUAGGGCCGAGGAAGAUAGGUUGAGGGAUCAUAGGGCUGAGGGAACAUAGGUUUGAGAGAACAUAGGGCUGAGGGAACAUAGGGCUGAAGGAAGAUAGGUUGAGGGAACAUAGGGUUGAGGGAACAUAGGGCUGAGGGAACAUAUGGCUGAAGGAACAUAGGGCUGAAGGAAGAUAGGUUGAGGGAACAUAGGGCUGAAGGAACAUAGGGUUGAGGGAACAUAGGGCUGAGGGAACAUAGGGUUGAGGGAACAUAGGGCUGAGGGAACAUGGGGCUGAAGGAAGAUAGGUUGAGGGAACAUAGGGCUGAGGGAACAUAGGGCUGAAGGAAGAUAGGUUGAGGGAACAUAGGGCUGAAGGAAGAUAGGUUGAGGGAACAUAGGGCUGAAGGAAGAUAGGUUGAGGGAACAUAGGGCUGAGGGAACAUAGGGUUGAGGGAACAUAGGGCUGAGGGAACAUGGGGCUGAAGGAAGAUAGGUUGAGGGAACAUAGGGCUGAGGGAACAUGGGGCUGAAGGAAGAUAGGUUGAGGGAACAUAGGGUUGAGGGAACAUACGGCUGAAGGAAGAUAGGUUGAGGGAACAUAGGGUUGAGGGAACAUACGGCUGAAGGAAGAUAGGUUGAGGGAACCCCCACACACACACACUGUGAAGUCAAUCUGCAGCUUUCCUUCUUUUACUGUGCCACAGGCCCACAGCUACCUGUUUCACGGCCUCAUCAGAAGGAGGUGAUGACAGGACUUAGAUGGGGAUAGGACGGGGGGGACGGACAGAUGGACGGGGGGAGACAAAAAAAUAUCACAGAAUCAAAGACAGACACUGAUGAUCUCUUUCGUAUCCAGAACACUCUUGCAGAGCACAGUGUAAAGUUGCAGCGACUACUUUCAGAUCCCAUUAACUAGCCACCAAGAUCACUGACAAGACAAAUUAAAUAACAUCAGCCCAUGUUAUCGCCCACUGUGACACCCAUUGUUUUUGUGCAGCCUAAUUUGGAGAAUAAGUUCACAAUAUUCUGCUUCAUUUGUAACAUGUUGAAAAAACGAGUAAUUUCCCCGGCCUGCCCUCAGUCUCCCCCUCAGGCCUGGGACCUGUGGUUUGCUGGGGGUGAAGAAUGACACCACGGGAUGGGGGGAAGUGGGGUGCCGACCCGUCAACAGAGCUG
rnacentral:lncRNA from 1 species